UUACACCUACGGGGGGCAGCAGUAGGGAAUAUUGCUCAAUGGGGGAAACCCUGACGCAGCAACGCCGCGUGGAGGAUGAAGGUUUUCGGAUUGUAAACUCCUUUUGUUAGAGAAGAUAAUGACGGUAUCUAACGAAUAAGCACCGGCUAACUCCGUGCCAGCAGCCGCGGCAAUACGGCGGGUGCAAGCGUUACUCGGAAUCACUGGGCGUAAAGAGCGCGUAGGCGGGAUAGCAAGUCAGCUGUGAAAUCCUAUGGCUUAACCAUAGAACUGCAUUUGAAACUGUUAUUCUAGAGUAUGGGAUG
rnacentral:rRNA from 1 species